UUUCCCGACGUAAUCCGCCAGGCGGGGAGUGUAGGUUUCCUUGGGGAGGAGACGCCCUUUGGUUGGUCCUGGCAAGGACCGUGUUUCGGUCGCAGGCACUGUGGGAAACGGAAAAAGAAAGCGAAUUCGAAUAAGACAGCCCCGGUGGAGUCAUGCUUCUUGUGCAGGUGUUUUCCCUUCUUUGCAGCGUUCUGCCUCAAAAAUCAGAUGUCUUUCCCACCGCCGUCUAGCAUACCCCUUGUCAGUUAAAACGUGCAGGGCUUGAAAGCGCGUUAUGGGGGACUUCCCAGUGCAGAAGCGAAGAGAAGAUGCCUGUAACACUGAUGCCAACAGAAGGAGGCACCCUUGGUUGGUGCGUACAGGGCCCAGUGACAGACGAAGAGGGACUUUAACCACCAACUCAGCUUAGGAGGAAGCCAAGAAAGAAGGUUUUCUAUCUCUCAGCCUAGAGAAGAAGAGAGAGCUCAAGAGGGGAGGGGACAGAGAGAGAGGGAGAGAAUCCCAAGCAGCCUUCAUGACCAGUGUGGAGCUCUACACAGGGGUCAAUCCCACAACCUGAGCCAAAAUCAAGAGUCCAGUGUUCAACCGACUGAGCCACUCAGGUGCCCCAAGUAGUACAGCCUUCUUGAACUGUCUCCCAACAAGUCAAAACUCUGAGUUUAGGCUGGGCAGCUGCCUUUGCCCCAGCCAUUUUUGCACAGAACCACAUAUGAAAAAAUUUGGGCAAGUUCUGAGAACAGUAUACCAUAUUGUUGAGGGAGGGAAAGGGACUUCUACGCUUGUUAUAAGUGAAAGAAGGCAUGAGUAGAAUCAGUCAGUGACUCAAAGAAUGACACACCAAUUCACUCAGGCUGCAAAUGAUACCACAUUUUAUAAAGCAAAUGAUCCUAAAAUGUGUAAUGAUUUCAUAUUUGUACAACUUACGAUUUACUUUUUUAAAUAUUUUAAAAUAUCUUAAAAAUACUUUUGUAAAAUAUUUCCUGAUUCCUGCUAAAAUGAUUUAAUCUUUCUCCUUUAAAUUCCUAAUUAGGACGUGUGUUUGUGCAUUGCAUUUGCUUGUCUAUAAUGCAUAUUUGUGUUGAAGGUGUAUAGACUUAGGGGAGUUUGCAUAGUCCUUCCCAACCUUU